AUAUUUCAAUUUGACAAUAAGAAAAUAACUAGUAGUUAAAAUGGCAAGCAAAAAACACACAUGAUACUUCAAAUAUCAAUUGCCAGAUUCAGUACAAGCUCUACAAAUGACACGUACUACAAGCUGUAACAUAUAUUCAAAUAAGAGCCAAAUCACCAAUAUACCAAUCAAGUUUAUUACAUUCCACCAAUCACAAUAUAACCAUACAAUAUUACACCAAUCACAAUAUAGCACUCUACAGAUAAAACGCUCAACAAGUACAGGCACGUCUCCAACACCUUAGCGCCUUGAGCCUGCAAAACAUCACAUCCAGCCACAUAUUAAUGAUCAAAUAAAUUCACCCCUUGACGGCAAUAAAAAACGAUGCUAAUCUAUGAACGAAAAUAAAAUAAACAAUCUUUGAGGCCAUAGCAUGUGCUACAAAAAUCUUAGCAAAUGCAUAGAUGUCCACACAGAGCACACAUCCUACAUGCACCAAGCAUCAGGCAUAUGUUCAAGAAGACAAGUAAUUUGAGAUGGAAACAAGUACAGCUAACAAUCUGACAUGUGUAGUAGCACCAACAAAAUAGCAAGACAUGGAAGAAUUUACAAGAACAACACCCUGGGAGUCCAAUUACAUGUACAUGAGGUACUGCUGCUAGUGUAUAACAAAGCAUGAGUCCAGCUUGUGUAGGAGCAGAGCAUGAGUCCAACAAAGCAAGCUAGCUAUAGGAGCAGAAAAGAGGGAGCUAGGGGUAGGAGAUGGAGCCAGCUCACCGAAGAACUUGGGAGUCCAGCUUGGGUCCUUGUUAAUCUGUUGCUGCUCCGGUAGCUCUCGUGUGCGGGUAUAAGAUCAGAU
rnacentral:lncRNA from 1 species